CAUAUCAAUAAGCGGAGGAAAAGAAACCAACAGGGAUUGCCCCAGUAACGGCGAGUGAAGCGGCAACAGCUCAAAUUUGAAAUCUGGCCCCCAGGGCCCGAGUUGUAAUUUGCAGAGGAUGCUUUUGGCGCGGCGCCUUCCGAGUUCCCUGGAACGGGACGCCACAGAGGGUGAGAGCCCCGUCUGGUCGGACGCCAAGCCAGUGUAAAGCUCCUUCGACGAGUCGAGUAGUUUGGGAAUGCUGCUCUAAAUGGGAGGUAUAUGUCUUCUAAAGCUAAAUACCGGCCAGAGACCGAUAGCGCACAAGUAGAGUGAUCGAAAGAUGAAAAGCACUUUGAAAAGAGGGUUAAACAGUACGUGAAAUUGUUGAAAGGGAAGCGUUUGUGACCAGACUUGGGCCCGGCGGAUCAUCCGGCGUUCUCGCCGGUGCACUCCGCCGGGCCCAGGCCAGCAUCAGUUCGCCGCGGGGGACAAAGGCUUCGGGAACGUGGCUCCCCCGGGAGUGUUAUAGCCCGCUGCGCAAUGCC
rnacentral:rRNA from 1 species